UACGAAGGGUGCAAGCGUUACUCGGAAUUACUGGGCGUAAAGCGUGCGUAGGUGGUUUGUUAAGUCUGUUGUGAAAGCCCCGGGCUCAACCUGGGAAUUGCAUUCGAGACUGAAUAGCUAGGGUACGGUAGAGGGAAGUGGAAUUUCCGGUGUAGCGGUGAAAUGCGUAGAUAUCGGAAGGAACACCAGUGGCGAAGGCGACUUCCUGGCCUGUUCUUGACGCUGAGGCGCGAAAGCUAGGGGAGCAAACGGG
rnacentral:rRNA from 1 species